rnacentral:tRNA from 1 species
UGCGUCCGUAGCUCAGUUGGUUAGAGCACCACCUUGACAUGGUGGGGGUCGGUGGUUCGAGCCCACUCGGACGCACCAG